UGGCCACACUGGUUUUGUGUUUUACUGUCGUGCUUAUACUAGCUCCUGUAAUUUUAAUUAAUUUCUGUGUAAUUACUGAUUUGUUUCUUUGUGAAAUAAUAUAUUAUUACUUUUAAAUACUCAUUAAUUCGUAUUAUUGACUAAUUUUUCUGUGUUAAUUUGUGUUUUAGUUUUAAUUAUUAAAACAAAAAUAGUGUAUUCAUUUAGUUUAAAAAGAGAAGCAAACUAGCUUAACGAAAUAAGCAAUUUUAAACCAUCCAAAAAAAAUAUCUGAACUGGAUCCCAACAUAAAAUACAACAUUUUCGCUCUACGAAAAGUUAAAACGCGUUGGGGGGAACGCAUUGUCGCAGAUCUUGGAGAGUUCACAACUUUUUUACCCCAGAGAUAUUCCCAACUCUCGGCAAGCAGCAUGACAUCAAUUGGUGGAGGUAGCUAUGUCUUAGAGAUUGUAAGACAAAUCGGAUCAACCUAUGAAUUAAAAUUUAUGAAAAUGAAAUAAUCCAUAUUGAAUCAUUAAAACAAAAAAUUAAAAAUUAUAGUUGUAA